rnacentral:lncRNA from 1 species
GCCCACGUCAUGGCGCCUGAGGAGAACGCGGGUACCAAACUCUUGCUGCAGAGUUUCGAGCGCCGCUUCCUAGCGGCGCGCACACUGCGCUCCUUCCCCUGGCAGCCCUCGGAAGGCUCGGUCACACUCUCCGAGCACAGCCAUCAUCUCCCACGGUACCACAGGCCUGGUCACAUGGGACGCUGCCCGCUACCUUGCAGAAUGGGCCAUCAAGAACCUGGCAGCCUUCACUAACAGUAACCUGAAGCUUUCACCGUAGACGUGCUGUAUUGCCCAGAAGCCAUCGUGUCCCUGGUCGGGGUCCUGCGGAGGCUGGCUGCCUGCUGGGAGCACCAGCGGGCUCCUGAGGUCUACAUGGCCUUUACCGUCCGCAACCCAGAGACGUGCCAGGUGUUCACCACCGAGCUAGGCUGGGCUGGGAUCAGAUGGGAAGCGGAAGCUCAUCAUGACCAGAAACUGUUUCCCUAUGGAGAGCACUUGGAGAUGGCAAUGCUGAACCUCACACUGUAGGACUCAUACACGACUCCAACGGGAUUGUUAGAAUCAAAUCACUCUCGUGGGAAGAAUUUUUAUAUGGGAAAGCGGAUAAAACUUUCAUUGGACUGGAAUGUUUGGAGAAUGUUAAAUUCCAAAUCAGGAACCACAAUCUGCCCUCUAAUAAGACAUCGGCUAUCUAAGCAUGUGGGUGCCCCCUUUCUGCCAGCAGUUCUGGUUCUUAAGAAAAUCACCAUAAAUCAGACAUGAAAAUUCUGGCUCCAAAAAUAGCAUUUUCUUUGUGCAAAUAAAAACGUGUGUAUCAAGUA